rfam:Glossina palpalis gambiensis isolate 146720 unplaced genomic scaffold Scaffold710, whole genome shotgun sequence.
GCGGAAGUAGCUCAGAGGAAGAGCAUAACCUUGCCAAGGUUAGGGUCGCGAGUUCAAGUCUCGUCUUCCGCU